UACGUAGGGUGCGAGCGUUGUCCGGAAUUAUUGGGCGUAAAGGGCUCGUAGGCGGUUUGUCGCGUCGGGAGUGAAAACCUUGGGCUUAACUCAGGGCUUGCUUUCGAUACGGGCAGACUAGAGGUAUGCAGGGGAGAACGGAAUUCCUGGUGUAGCGGUGAAAUGCGCAGAUAUCAGGAGGAACACCGGUGGCGAAGGCGGUUCUCUGGGCAUUACCUGACGCUGAGGAGCGAAAGCUAGGGGAGCAAACGGG
rnacentral:rRNA from 1 species